GGUAAUAUUUUCCUUGGACUGCGUCCAUACUAUUGUUUUAGAUUUUUAGAACUUUUCUGUCUUUAGAAUUGUACAUUCUUUUUCUUUGAAUUUAUAGCUUGUUGGAACAGCAGGAACUGUUUUCAUAGAAAUUUGGUUUGAAAAUCUUGUAGCUGUAUCUUAGAGCUUAGAAGGAAGCUUGAAAAUUUGGUGGAAAACAAAAUUCAUCUUCUUGAACUUUAUUAAAAAUUGUUCGACAUAUUAUGCGAUAGAUGAGCAACAUAAAGUUUAAUGUUUCUGAUAAAAUCAACAGUGUUGACUACUACAACAAAUAUUAUGAGAUAGACGAGCAACAUAAAGUUUGAAUGAAUGAAAAUUUGAUUUAGAAGGUGUUCCAGUAGUUAAAGUUCUGCAGAUUAUUGAACUGUGUAUCUUUCAGGAUACGUUUCUUUCAAUGAUUGUGCAAUCUUCUAUAGGCAUUAUUACAUUUUCACAAUGUGUCUAGAAUUUUCAUUAAUGCUAGUUUGAAUGUUGUUAAACUUGAAAAUCAUUUUCAUGAGCUAUUUUUCCUAUAAUAUUAUUUGUAUUUUAAAACUGAAGAAUUCAUGUUUAACCUUAGUAGCAACUAAACGUUGGUGUUUGUCCAAGUGAGGCCUCUGCUCUAUUUAUAACACUUCUUGUCGAAAACUAAAUUUGUGAAAAUUGGAUUCUGCACAAAGGAACUUAAAAUAAUAGUAUGAUGAAUGUGUUACCUAUAAGUUUUAUUUAUUUUUUUGAUAAGACCUAUAAGUUUUAUUGUAAAUUACUUUCUAUUGUUCUUUUUACUAUUCUAAGCUGCCUUGCUUUCUUUCAUUGUUCCUUGGUGGUCUUCUUUCCUCUUCCCUCUUUUUUUUAUUAAGGAAUAAAUAACCAUUUGUGUUCUAUCACUUUGCACUUGCUGUACAACUUCCCCCAAACUUUGGGAGCUCUAAUAAUUCUCUUGCUUUCACCAGUGGGGACAGAAGUCCUUAUGGUUUUUGAUAAGACAGAGCAACAAAGAAGAUUACUACGUGUUACCUUUUCUUGUGUUCCUAUGUAGUUGUUCUAAUGCAUCAAAUGGUUUUUGAUAUCUUGCAUAUCAUAGUUUCAGGAUCAAAUUCUGCCAGUUCUUCUAUGGUGUAUUUGAUAACCAAUUUGCAGCAAUGGAUGCAUUCUAAAUGGGAAAGUGUCAUUUACACCCAGGCGGCACUUGAAACGUGUUGGAUCAAUACUUGGAGGGAAUUUUGAUGUAUUAAAACUAGAAGUAAUAGAUUGAACCCCCCCCCCCCGGGCGCAUGCAACCAGAGCAGCAAAGCGGAGGACCAAUAUUAUUUGAGCGUAAUAUCAUCUGGGACUGGAAGGACAGGAUCGUCAAUUCAAACGGAACAAAGGUCUGCCUUUCCACCGACAUUUUACCUCAUUGCCUCCCUAUUAAGUACUCUGUUAGCUUUUUAUUCAUUGCUUUAUGUCUUUGUAUUUCAUACUAAAUAUGCACAUAUGUAUAUCCACC